AUACGAAGGGUGCAAGCGUUACUCGGAAUUACUGGGCGUAAAGCGUGCGUAGGUGGUUGUUUAAGUCUGUCGUGAAAGCCCUGGGCUCGACCUGGGAAUGGCGAUGGAAACUGGGCGACUAGAGUGUGGCAGAGGGUAGUGGAAUUCCUGGUGUAGCAGUGAAAUGCGUAGAGAUCAGGAGGAACAUCCGUGGCGAAGGCGACUGCCUGGGCCAACACUGACACUGAGGCACGAAAGCGUGGGGAGCAAACAGGAUUAGAUACCCUGGUAGUCCACGCCCUAAACGAUGCGAACUGGAUGUUGGGUGCAAUUUGGCACGCAGUAUCGAAGCUAACGCGUUAAGUUCGCCGCCUGGGGAGUACGGUCGCAAGACUGAAACUCAAAUGAAUUGACGGGG
rnacentral:rRNA from 1 species